rnacentral:rRNA from 1 species
GACGAACGCUGGCGGCGUGCCUAAUACAUGCAAGUCGAGCGGAAGUUGGAGAGCUUGCUCUUCAACUUUAGCGGCGGACGGGUGAGUAACACGUGGGCAACCUGCCCUGCAGAUCGGGAUAACUCCGGGAAACCGGUGCUAAUACCGAAUAGUUUUCGCCACCUCCUGGUGGCGUACGGAAAGACGGUUUCGGCUGUCACUGCAGGAUGGGCCCGCGGCGCAUUAGCUAGUUGGUGGGGUAACGGCCUACCAAGGCAACGAUGCGUAGCCGACCUGAGAGGGUGAUCGGCCACACUGGGACUGAGACACGGCCCAGACUCCUACGGGAGGCAGCAGUAGGGAAUCUUCCGCAAUGGACGAAAGUCUGACGGAGCAACGCCGCGUGAGUGACGAAGGUUUUCGGAUCGUAAAACUCUGUUGUGAGGGAAGAACAAGUACCAACUAACUAUUGGUACCUUGACUGUACCUCACCAGAAAGCCACGGCUAACUACGUGCCAGCAGCCGCCGUAACAC